GGGGGGGGGGGGGGGGGGGGGGGGGGGGGGGGGGGGGGGGGGGGGGGGGGGGGGGGGGGGGGGGGGGGGGGGGGGGGGGGUUUUUUUUUUUUUUUUUUUUUUUUUUUUUUUUUUUUUUUGUGUGUAUCUUUUUUGGGGCCAUUUUGAGACUAAAACCAAGAGGUAUCUCAGGGGGGGUUAUGGUUAGCUCACACUAUGCAGAAUUACACACAGUAGGAAAUCUGGGGAUUUCUCUCUCUUGCUUCAGUGACUCUAGCAGCUUGCCCAGCACUCCUAAAGCGACAUGUUGUAAGGGUCAUGGGUUUGGAGCAAAGCCAAUACUAGUGUUAGCAAGCAGAAUUCCUUAUGACUCCACUUUUUAAAUUUUUUUUUUUCCUUUUUCUCUUUGCUAUUGGCCCAACACAAGCAGCAAAAGUAACAUGUCUGAACCUGUUUCAUUGUCUGUUCUGGUGGUUACCCACUUUCUUCUCCCCUGGUUCAGGGAAAGUGAGGAAAAAAGGUUUGCCUUUGCCCAGCAGCACUGCAGGUGUCUGUCCCUCUGAAAGAGUCCCAGCGGUGUGGGCGUGCUGGAAAGAAAAAUCCCCAGUGACUUCACCCAGCUUGGCUUGUGGUGGUUACUCACAAUGAGGUAACUUUUUUUUUCUAAAUUAUUUCUUUUCUUUUUUUUUUUUUUUUUUUUUUUUUUUUUUUUUUUUUUUUUUUUUUUUUUUUUUUUUUUACAUCUGAGUUUUUGCAUAUGAGUGAAACUGCAGCUCUGGGACGAUUCAGGGAGUUUUCUCUGCAGAGUAAUUUUGCCUUUACACUGCUAUUACAGCUCUGGUAUCCUAUAGCAAGUAAGAACAUAACAUUACAUCUGUUCACACGUGGGAGAUGGAGGAACUGCAUUAAGAGCCCAUCAGAUAGGAAGGUUCUUGUCCUGUUUGAAACACCAAAGAAGGCAGAAUUUUCAGUGCUGGUGGUUUGUGGAAAAAAAGAAAAAAAGCUACGGAGGACGUUUUACGUUGGGCAGAGAUUUCAGGCUGCAGCAAGAUCCAGCCUGUGCACUUGUGAAAGGCUGUGCUCUCCUCUGGGGCUGGAGGAAGACAAAGGCACCAUUCAAGGAUGAGCUCCAACCCAGAACCCAUUCUGAACAGGAACCUGACCAUCUUGUCUUGGAGGCUUGGUGUGAGAACCAUAUGGAAGGGAAGAAGUAUCCUAGACCCAAGAUGCAAGUUCAUGGAUUGUAGAGGAAGACAGGAGGCCAAACACUGAAACAGCAUCUAACAGAAGUGCACACUGGGUCAAAAUUUCCACUUCUAUUUGGUCGAAUUUCCAACAUAAAUUAAACCAUUUUCUCGAAGUCGUGGCUUUUCCCAUUGGUAAGCUAUGAAUCUUCCCUCACAGUUAAUUCACUAUUUUCAGUUAGUUACAAUCGCUCAUAGGCUGCACAAUCUCUGAGCACAUUAGAGCCAUAGUAGAACUGUCUGGCAUUUGUAAACAGACAACACUUGGGACUUUGUAAUACUCUAACUCAGUGCACUAGUGUGCCAAAAUAAAGGUCAUUUCAAUUUCAUAUUAUGUCACGCAGUUUUGAAGUGACAUGUGUUUAAUGAUUUUUUUCUCCAGUAAAUGAAUGAAAGCAAGCAUCAAACUAAUACGCUUUGAUGAUGUGCCCACAAAGAAGAGGCAAAAAUCUUUUCAAAAACAUUAAACUAAUAUUUUACCAGAAAAAAACCCCACAACCCAAUACAAAGAUUCAAACUCCUACCCAAAGCUUCUGCAAUGAAGAAAAUCAGACUUCUUUGCCCUUUCCAGAUGACAGUUUGCAGAAGUUUCACUGUAAUUUAUUUAUCUGUGUCUAUCACUGCAGAGAGUGAGGCUGAUCUUUUGAAAGAGGCAGAAGAGCACGAAGGUUGCAAUUUGAGCUUGUUACAGAAGCUGUAUCACAAAGCUCAUAACAGGACCACUAAAGGAAUGGAAAAGCUGGUCCUAAUGUGUAUGAGGCCUAUGAUUGUGCAUAGACAUGUUUAAAGUCUUGUCAUUUAGCAAAGCCUUCUUGUCUUCCAAAUCCACAUAUUCCAGGUAGUUUCUCUCUGCCAUCUUUCUAGCAGGCUGUGGGCUCAAACAGGCACAAACUGGAGCACAGGAGGUGCAAUCAGAACAUCAGGAAACACUUUUCAUGGUGAGUGUGGUCACCCACAGAUUGCCCAGGAAGGCUGUGAAGUCUCCAUUCUUAGAGGUAUUCAAAAGCCAUCAUGACCUGGUCCAGGCAGCUUGCUCCAGGUGGCCCUUCCUGAGCAAGGUGGUUGGGUCAGAUGACCCCCAGAGGUCCCUUCCAAUGCCAACCAUUCUGUGACUGAUUCUGUGGCUGCUUGAUCAGAGCUGCUGACAUCUUUGGUUUUGGGAAUAUUGCUUUUGGUGUUAGCAGUUGGUUGUGUUCCACUUUUAAGAAACUAAUAGUUCCUUCAGCACAGAAUAGGCAAGAAAGCUGUUUUGAUUCUUGGAGACUUCUUGAUUCUUAUGAGUGUGCAGGAGGAAAGGUUGUACUGAGGCUUCCUCUCCUAAGAGGGAGUGUGAAGAUUCCAGGAAGUAGGAUGAACACUAGCAAAUGGCUGGUAGUGUGAAUGCUG
rnacentral:lncRNA from 1 species